AACGUUCAUCUUCACUAAAAAAGUUAGGAAGACGGAAGUAGGGAAAAUUUCCUGAAGGAACGCGCC
rnacentral:ncRNA from 2 species